GAUGAACGCUGGCGGCGUGCCUAAUACAUGCAAGUCGAGCGAACGGACGAGAAGCUUGCUUCUCUGAUGUUAGCGGCGGACGGGUGAGUAACACGUGGAUAACCUACCUAUAAGACUGGGAUAACUUCGGGAAACCGGAGCUAAUACCGGAUAAUAUUUUGAACCGCAUGGUUCAAAAGUAAAAGACGGUCUUGCUGUCACUUAUAGAUGGAUCCGCGCUGCAUUAGCUAGUUGGUAAGGUAACGGCUUACCAAGGCAACGAUGCAUAGCCGACCUGAGAGGGUGAUCGGCCACACUGGAACUGAGACACGGUCCCGACUCCUACGGGAGGCAGCAGUAGGGAAUCUUCCGCAAUGGGCGAAAGCCUGACGGAGCAACGCCGCGUGAGUGAUGAAGGUCUUCGGAUCGUAAAACUCUGUUAUUAGGGAAGAACAUAUGUGUAAGUAACUGUGCACAUCUUGACGGUACCUAAUCAGAAAGCCACGGCUAACUACGUG
rnacentral:rRNA from 1 species